AAGAAAUAGGUUCAGCAAACUAAUGUCACAAGAUUUAAUGUACACAUUAGGUUCGUUUGUGUAUUCUGGGAAAUUCUGUUUUCCCCCACAUCACAAAAUCCUGGAGUUUCCCUCGGUACCUGGACUGCUAUUAUAUAAUAGAGAGCAGAGGGUUUGUUCUAGUUAAAUUCUCAGUCUAGAGGACAAACCUGGAGUGCCAAGAGAAUUUACCAAGAGACACAGUUUCAUAUCAACUUAAGGUUCUUUUAUGGGAACUGAUUCUCCUGGACUCAUAAGAUUCAAAAUGCUUUCCAACUCUGGCGCUCUGUACCAUUCCUCUGGGACAUCUAAGGCUGGCAGCCCUGUUCUCACAGUUUUAAAACAAGGUCUUGAUGCCACGCUCACAUCUUUCUGAUCCUAGAGACAGUAAGCUGUGCGGGCAUUUGGGCUUUAAAUCAAAUCAUCUUGGACUCUCUGAACAUCCUACUUCACGUUUUGGAACGUCAGUUCCUCUACUGAAAACUUAAGCUGAAAGACCCUCGGAUUGAGGAGUCUCCACAAAUUGGACAGUCCCCCCAAAAAACUAAAUGUCCAGUCAAGCUGAUGUAAAAACAAGAGAGGAUCCUAGCUAAACCUAGGAGUCUCACGGCCGGGAGGGGGCAGCAGACUCCAGCCCUGCACUCUCGGGACUCACGGAGCCCGAGGGACAACCAAGUUCCCAAGAUCUCGGUUCUGGCAGCCUCAGAGCUGCACCCGGCUUCCAGGCCUUGGAAAGAGAAGGACGUGGAAUCAGGGACGCUGCAGCACACGAAUCAGCUCCGUAGAGGAUUUGGUUCUGCAAGAUAGAGCUGUAGGCAGCACCGGAGUGCUCCUGUGCGGAAACUGCUUCCGGAAUGAGGUACUGCGCUUGCGCGUCCCCGCCUCUUCCCUUCUCCAGCUGCAGCAAGGUCUCAGGGCUGCAGGAAUCUCAAGCAAACUCAUGACAGAGUGACAUCUCAGAUGAGCCUCAGACACCUGAGAAAAAGACACUGUCUUCAUAGAGGAUAACAAUUCAUGCACGUCACUGUCCCAGAACUUCCCAAGGUGACAACAUAUGGAGGAAGAGGAUGGUGACACUGAAGAUCCAGACCACCAUCAGCCUGAGGCUAAUGUGUAUAUGUGUUUGUGUCUUACGUUUAAGCAACUUACAAAAGCUGAAAAAAAAUAAUAAAAAAAUUAGAAAUAUUUUAUUUGGCUA